UUCAAUGAACUGAAGAACCUUCUUGUUUUCCUCCGCAAUACUACCAUUAGGGGCCUUCAUUGGGAUCUUUGGUGCAUCAGGUAUUGUUCUUUCCAUCUUAAUAAAGACCUGGCUGAGUCAAUGAUUUUGUUACAAGGUGAACAAAAAAUGUUUAUUAGGUGUGUGGAGGAAGGUUGAGGUGGCUUUAUACGGAGGACGUUUUGGAUCAGGUAUUGUUCUUUCCAUCUUAAUAAAGACCUGGCUGAGUCAAUUAUUUUGUUACAAGGUGAACAAAAAAUGUUUAUUAGGUGUGUGGAGGAAGGUUGAGGUGGCUUUAUACAGAGGACGUUUUGGACGACGUUAAAAUCAGAAACGGAUGGAGUGUAUUGACUACGGGUUGAACUGAAUCCAGUGUUUACUUGUAAAUAUAUCACGUGCGUCUUUUGGAAACUUCUCUGAUAGUUCAAAAAUAUGUUCCAUUGACCUUCAAAGAUCUACCACUUCAUGGCUACAUAAAUUUCCUUUUUGAUAAGUGUGACUUAUGGGCACAGAUGAGCUCAUACAUGUUGUGCUCUUACCAGUACACUAGAGCCAUCCCAACAUUUACCCUCGAAAAUCACUUGAUUAUCAAAAAGAAAAAAGAUAUGCACAAAUCAACAUAGAAUAAAAAAAUAACAUGGCCUUAUCAUCACACCACUACCAAUAGUUGCUAUUAUAGUAUUUCCUAUGUUUAAUUCCUUAUACAUUAUGUAGCUUUCCAGACAGUGACAGAGCAUCUUCAUCAUGUUCUUCAUUUUUUAUACAUUAUGUUACUUUCCUGACGGAUCCUCAUCACCUUGUGUUUCAUUUGUUUUUACAAAUUUCAUCCGCCACUAUUUUGUCUUACAUAAUAAUUCCUUCUUUAAAAUGCAUCUGUAGAGUAAUUGAUCUGUUUUGAUAUUUCUACAUAGCAACUUGACAUACCUUACCAAACUAUGUUUGAAUGCAUAUUGUUUGUUGCUUUUCAGUACAAAUAUUAUAUUUAGUGUCUAGUGGUUCAUAUCAUUUAUUUAAUUAAAUUUAGCCACAAUUAUUUUUAUUAAAUAAAUUUAUAUAUCAUAUUGAGGAUCACAUAAGGAAAUUAUAGACAUUAGAUAAGGACUAAUGUCUAGGUGAUCUAUAGUUUUAUUUAAUUGAAACUUAGUCACAACAUCUUUAUUUUUUUUUCUUUUUUUAGAUAACCGUGCUGUCCGGGCCAGCUUACGCGCUCCUUGACUAAUUUCACGGGAUACCUGCCACCUCCCACCAGCACAACAGGUACCAGGUAAUUCUAUCCACAAAGGCUAGAAUAGAUGGAAUAAAUCACCUAGCGUUUGUCUCUGUUAGGAAUUGAACCUGAGACCUCAGAUGCUCAACCCAACUUCAUUGAACCACAUGGCCACACCCUUGGGUGCUAGUCACAACAUCUUCAAUUGAACAAAAAUUUUAAAGUUAAGGAUCACACAAGAAAUUUUGGACAUUAGAAUUGUUGAUUAAUUAUGCACUAUGUAAUAACUCAAGAAUCUUUAUUAUUGGGUUGCAUAAUUAAUUAGAAUAAUCUAACAAAGAUUCAAUAAAGAGGAAAACGCAACUCAAAAGAAUAUUGAAAAGAUCAGGUCCACCCUAUAAAAGAACUUUUGUUCAGAUAUAUAUCAAAGGAAAACUUUGUCCUCAGGAUCUUUCUCCCUGAAGAAAGGACAUUAAUAGCUGUUUAGGUAUAACCUAACGUCCAACUAUGAUGACAAUGGUCAAAGCCAUUGAUUAAAAAUAUUUUUACCUAUCAAAUUAUCACCAAUUAUUUAUCAAAAUCUAUCUCAGUUAUCAAUUGUUUGCUUUUUCCACGUGAAAUAUGAUGACUUCAGGUAGGAGAGAAGUGAACACUUGAUAGUUAAGGUGUUGUUUGAUAAAUAGUUGGUGACACUUCAUGUAGAAAACGUACUCACCUGAUCGUUCAGGUAUGUAACUCAAAAGACCUGAAUACGUGAGGUGUGUUUUUGAUUCUAGGGAGCAUCAAGGUUCAAAAAACACACCUAACGUAUCCCUAUAUUUUGAUUUUCAUACUUGAAUUAUUCGGUGUGCAAGUUUCCCACUUGUAUUAACACUAACUAUUUAGUUGUGUUUUUGACUAUUAACUCUUCUAGCUAAGAUAAACAAUGUGUGAGUGCUACAACAUAGACAUCUUCGUUCCUCUUCCCGUCGUAGAAGCCUAGCUCCAUCACAAAUAGUAGUGACCAACAAACAUAAACGAGAAUGUUUAAAAUUAGAGAAACACCGACUAUUAAUCAAAACACACCUCAACUAUUAAUUGUUCACUUUUCCUACUUGCAAUAACACCAUCAUAGGUGAUACGAGCCAAAUGGCCAACUUAGAUUUUGAUGACAUCUUUGGAGGCCAACACGUAGAGACUCAAGACUUGGUCACCUCGAAUAUACAGGAACAAGCAAGGAGGACCGGUUUUGAGCAUGCCAUUAAGCAAGGUUGUGUGUGGAAGAUUGCUUGGAGCAUUAAAGACUUGAGGACUCACGGUUUUGGACCACACUUAAAUGACUCAUGGUUUUUGAAGCAUUGAAGAGCCUUAAAACACUCCAAAACCGCCACUCUACUUAAGGGUGUUUUGGUCAUUUUGUGCCCUUUCCUUACACUCCAUAGGAGUUCCUUUCAUUAAGGGCAUUAGGGUCAUUUUGUCUUCAUUUUGUAAUAGCUAUAUGUAGGCUCUUUAGGGUUUAUUUCAUACUUGGUUAUUUAUUGAUGGAAAACUUUGAAACAUUGUAACACCUAAUUCUCUCUAGGUUUUGAGAGUGAAACACCUUAGUUGUAGGGCUUGGAAAAGCCAAAACCGAAAUGAGGGCUGUUUCAAGUGUGGAUUUACUUGAGUUGCAACUUGGCUUGAAACGUUGGUGCUUGAGGAGGUAACGUCCCUCUUGUGUCAUUGUAAGGGUUUUGGUGAUUGUUUUUGUAGGUGUUAGAGGUCCUUAGAUUUGAUACAUCUUAGGGUUUCUAAUGUUUAUGUAAGCAUUUGUCUAACCAUCUAUCCUUUAAUAUAUUGCAAAUCGUUUGUGUUUUGUGCUUCUCUUAUUGUUGCCGUUUUAUGUCUUGUUCUUUGUGGACUGUUUUGUGUCCUUUGUGAGCUGUCUUGUAUCAGUAGGUAAGAUAAAUGAACAAUUGAUAGUUGAGGUAUGUUUUCAUAAAUAGUUGGUGAUAGUUUACGUAGGAAACUUGAACGCCUAAUAGUUUAGGUAUGAAACUUAAAAAAUGGGGAUAUUUUUAGUGUGUUUUUGACCAUUUAACUCUUACAAUUAUUUAACUUACUUUAAUUAUUUUCUUGGCUAAUGCCAGACUUCUCUAAAGUUGAGGUUCUCAAAGUCUAACACCUCUACCUACACAAACAUGAAAAUCUCUAAUAUGAUAAGUUAGUAUGAUACAUAUUCUUUAUCAAAGUUACCAUUCUAAGAAAAAAUAAUAUUUCCUUUAUCUGCUUUGUUAUUAUUAAUACGCCUACUCAUCAUUUGCAGGGGCUAAGAUCAAGUCUUCUUACCGUGACGUCCAAUUCUGAAGUUGCUCAUGUCAAACAUGAUUAUGUUAUUUGCACUAGCUUGUUCAAUAUAAUCGGACACCCUUCUGUCUGCGCGAAACAAAAAGUUAAAGAGUAGCUAGAAUUACAUCUUAGUCAAAUAAGAGGACUUGUUCUUAGUCCCUGCAAAUGAUGUGUAAGUCUAUUAAUAAGAUUAAAGCAGAUAAACAAAAUAUCCGAAGGGUGUUGAUAAGUUGUUAGGACAACAAAUUUUUGGCAG
rnacentral:lncRNA from 1 species